AGCAAAAAGUACAAAAUCUUCUUAAUUAGUAAAGUCAACCAUGUUCCUAGCCCAAAUGUCCAAUCCCAAUCCUCAAAGAAGCCAGUAUCCUGUUUGAUAUCCUGUACUAAGUCAUGUAAAUCUUUUAUAUGUUUAUGGAUCAUAGUGCCAUGGUCAGAUAGGUUAAAACAGCACAUACCUUCUAUAGCUUCACAGCCUAAGUCAUGUUUCAUUAGUAAGUAGUCAAUGGCUGCUCUAUUCUCAAGGAUUGCCUUCUUAUUUGCCUGGCUGUCCAUAAGUAGCUCUUCUAGGGCCUGUGAAGUGACAUUUAAACCUUUUGCAAGGGAACAGGCUACAGCAUUUACU